rnacentral:lncRNA from 1 species
AAGAAGAAGAAUAACGAGGUUGAAUGGGUUCUUUUCCCUCUGGUUUUCUCACCCACUCUAAUUAACUGAAUCUCCUUUAUUUUGUUUUAACUGAGCCACCCAAAAAAAUAAAGCAACCCACCUUUAUACUGUCAGAAAUCAAACAGUGUCCACCAUGUCACGCACACAUGAAACACAAAACACGUAUCACUACAUCACAGCUUAAUUUCAUUUCAUCAAUUUUUUUUUUUAUUUAAUUUAUUCUUUUACACAAACUUUAUAAUUUCAUAUUUUAAAUACCACAAACAAUUUUGUCACACCACAAACAUACGUGCACAAACAUUUAUCCAUCAGAAUUUACUCUCGUUACCAAAUAUAUUGUUUUAAUCAAAUAUAUUUAUUUUAUUGCUAAACAAUAUUCCAAUCAUCCGAUCAAGGAAUUAUUUCAAGAGUUUGGUUGUAAUUAUUUAGUUAUUUUAAGAUUAUUGUUCCUUAUCGAAGCUUGUAGUAGAACCGUGAGUGUCUAAAGUGAAGGAAGUGUAAGAAAUGGUAGUAUUUUUUUUAGUCUUAUUUGGUUAUGUUUAGAGGUAGGAGCAUGGAGGAGUUCCUUUGAUGAGAAUGAAGAUUGUACAUAUUCACACCAAAGUUCUGAAAGCGUGAGUUGGUUUUGAGGAACAUGCCAUACAAAUGUAUAGUUGAGUCAUUAUUCUCUUAACCGUGUACUCAUGCCUAGCGUGUAAAUUUUAGGUUAUUCAUGUAUCGUGCAAAAUCAAAUUUAAAAUCUGUAUACUUAAUUAGUUGUAAACUGAAAUACUAUUUUUCUUAUGGUUUAUCUUUUGUUUUUUUUUCAUUUCAAAAAACUCAAUUUAUAAUUAUUUAAUUAUUUUAAUAUUAUAAUUAAUUUACAAUAUUAUAUAUAUAUAUAUAUAUAUAUAUAUAUAUAUAUAUAUAUAUAUAUAUAUAUAUAUAUUUUUAUUUUUAUUUUUUCUAACUUAAUGGGAUUUGCUAAUUUAGAUAAGAGGGUUUUUCAGUUAGCACAUUUUAACAAGGUGUACCAAGUUUUAGGUUACAAAAAUGUUCUUGUUUAAAAAGAAAACCAACUUUAAAUCCAAGAGUAUUUUAAUAAUUUUAAAAUUUCAUUUAAAAUAAAAAAAUAAAUGGUAGUUAUGAAAAAUCCUGAUUGGUCCACGUGUACCAGAGAAGUUAUUAGCUUUUAUUAUAUAUUUUUUAAAAGGUAGUUGUUUUUUAAAAUAAAAAAUAAAAUAAAAGGUAGUUGUUUUUUUAACCCAAACGGUUAUACAAAUCCAAACGGGUUCUACAAACCCAAACGGAUUCUAUAAACCCAGAAAGGUUCUAUAAAGUCAUGGAAAUAAAAAUGGAAAAUAUGUUGUCUAUGGAUGUGAUCUAUCCAUCUUUAAAAAAACAACGUAACUAUAAAAAUUAUAUCUAUUUAAAAAUAUUAUAAUUAAAAAUAUUCCUUAAGUAGUGGAAAAUAACAACCUUUCUUUUUAUUUUAUAUUUUAAAAAACAAUUAAUGAAUAACUAUCGUUUUUAUUAUUUUUUAUUUAAAUUAAAUUUUAAAAUUACUAAAAUAUCCUUAUAUUUAAAGUAUUCUUUUUUAAAUAGGGAUAUUUUGUAAUCUAAAAUUUGGUACACUUUGCUCAAAUGUAUCAACUGAAAAAUCACUUUAACAAACCCCUUAGUUAAUAAUAGAAGUUUUUACUAUUACUUAUUGUUGAUUUUUUUAUGUAAAUUUGAGAAUUUUAAAAAUAUUUAAAUUUAUAUUAAAAACUGAAAUUUAUUGUUAACAUAUAUAGCUUUCACACUUUUAAUAUGUUUAAUUUUUUUUAUUUCAAGCUCAAUUUAUAAUCAUUUAGUUUCGAUGAUUUUGGGUUAAUGUUAUUUGAUAAUUUGGUUUUUGUCAUUUUGGUGAUAUGGUGUAAGUUAAUAAUUUGUUUUUGAAUUAAAUAUUUUUCUUUUGAUUUAGCACCACAAAUUAAAUGAAAUAAUGAUAAAUAUUCACUAAAUUGAAAUAGGGACACGUGAGAUAAGAAAAAAGAAAAAUAUUACUUUAUAAUUUAUUUAUUUAUUAUAUGUUGUGUUAGCUACUUAAUAUUUUUUGAGGUAAAAUGUGUUUUAUAAUUUAUAUUAUAUUUUAAAUUAUAUAUAAAUAUAGUCAUAGAGUGAAUGUUAGUAUCCAUUUUGGAAUUAAAAAUAUGAUAAUAAUAAAAUUUGUUAUUAACAUAGUUAUGGAUCAAAGUUGGGUAAGUGCAUAUUGUCUUAGUGAUCAUUCAUGAAGAUGAUUUAGUUGUCUGAUUUUAUUCUUUUCAUAAGAGUAAUGAUAUAACUUUCAUAUCAUCUAAUAAGUACAUAACAAUUAUGAUUAAUGUGUCAUCAAUUUAACUAGAGUUAUGGGUGCCAUAAACAUUUUAUGUCAAAAUAAUAGACAAAAGUAAGUUCAAAUUAUAUAUCCCACAGUGAAAUAUUAUUUAAUUCUUAAAUUAAUUAUUUUGUGUACAAGUUAUUAUAUGAUAUGAAUUUUCCUUUCUUUUAUUAUAGUGUAAUAGACACGUUAGUUCAUGGAAAUGUGAAUACUACGUGAUGUAUUAGAUCAAAGUUAUCAUCCAUGUAGAAAUUUAUGAUAAUUGGACAACAAUAAUCACUUAUAACUAGUGUACGAAUUCUACGAUUUUUGGUAUAUCACUACAUAAUAACAUUGUUUAUUUUAGGUAUUCAAUGAUUCAUCACCAAUAGACCAUUGACGAAAUAACACAUGAAUUGGCAAGUUGUAUUCUCUAAAGUGAAUAGAUUUUGAUUAAGUGUUGUUUAAGUUUUGUUUAAGUUAUGUUUAAACUUAAAAGUUUAAGUUAUACUUUCUCUAGACUACAAAUUUUAAGUUACACAUCAUAUUGUUUAUUUUGAUUUAAAAUUCUUCAUUAUUUACUUAAAUUGAAUAAUUGAAAAUAUAUAUUUUGUUCUCGAAAAGUUAUAUUUCAGGUUUUGCGUUAAUGAUUAAAAAAAUAAAAUAAAAAAAAAUAUAACAAAUUUAAGUAUGUUAUGGUUAUGAUAGACUUAAAUUCGAUGUCAUUUUUAUUUAGAAUUUAUGAAUAUUUAAGUCAAUUAGACAAUAACAUACUUAAAUUUUAAAUUUGUUUCUUAAUAAUAAAUUUAUUAUUUAAGUUUAUUCAACAACCAACUUAAAAUUUAAGUAUAUCAAAUCUAAUUAUAUUGUAAAACAGACUUAAAAAAACACAAAAUAACAUAUUAAAAUGUUGGUUUUGUUGUAUUGUUUUAUAAUGUUUUAGCAAACGUUUUGGUAAGAGUUUCAUAAGUCUUUCUUAUCUUUUCUGUCUCAUAUAUAUCUUAGGUUGUAUAUCAAGUUGUAUUUUUUUUGAGUUUACGUUAUCAAUAAGAGUUUUUCUUUCUUCUUCUUUAUCUCUUUUUCUUCUCUCUUUCUCUACUGUCUUAAAAGCUUUCUUUUUGUACUUUGCAACUAAAUCCAAGGGUGUAAUUUCUUUGUUUUUCUUGAAGCAUGCAGGUUGAAUGGAUGGUAUAUGAAAGUGACUGACUAUAUGGUCUUUACAUAUUUACGACAUUUAUAUAUGUAAUAAACUUUUAAAAGAAUUCUAACUUAUCAUAUUUUGUUUUUAUAUGGUUUUCAACUGGUAAUAAUGGUGUUAUAUAUAUAUAUAUAUACGAAUUGAGUAAAUUGGUUUAGUAUAAUUUGAAUAAGGGUAAAGAUACAUAAACAACAUUUUUUUUAUAACAUUUGAACAUCAUCAUAUGUGUCAUUGUGUGAUUGGUCCAAAUAACACAAUGACAUCACCAUGGACCAAUCACACAAUGAGAUGUAUGAUGAUGUUCAAAUGUUGUCAAGAAAAUAUUGUCUAAGUAUCUUUAUCUUUUGAAUAAAUGAUUGCAAACUCAAAUAUGAAUUAAAUGUAUAAAUGGGAUGAGGCAGAGUCGUAGAUUUAUCAUUGGUCGAUCACGUAAUUUCGCAUAUCUGCUUUUUAAUGAUUCUGAUUGAAUGAUUUGAAUUUUAGAAGUAUUGUUUGAUGUGAUAAUUAACAGACGUGAUUAAUUUUGGGUACUUUAAUCUCUUUUAAUACGUGAGUUUAGUAUUAAUUUAAAAAAUAAUUGGCUAAUUUAAUGAAUUAUAAAAUUUGUAGAUAAAAUAUUUUAAAAUUAAUCAUCUUUCUAUUUUCAUCUUAAGUGGUUGAUCUUUUAAAAACCAAUAAUUAUGCAUACUCAUGAUCAUAUGUAUGCUUUUACAAGCUUGAUUUUGGCUUAUUAAUUUAUAAUAUGUAAUUUUAAAUAAAAAUAUUAAUUACUUAAUGAAACUUAAGAAUUUAAUAUUGGAGUCCGAAAAACAUUAUCUCUAUAGCAAAUGCAUGGUAAUAGGUGAUGUGAAUACAGCCGUACACGUGGCAGUAGUAUGUUAAAAAUAUGGUUUGUUUGUUCCCGAAACAUCUUCAUGGUUCUUUUUACGUCCAGGCUGGCAUCUUCUUCAUUCAUUCAUCUUCUUCAGAACCGUCUAAACAUUUCUUCUCUUUUCUGCCAUCACUUGACCCAUCAUGAAACCUCGCGAACACUCUCCUCACUCCAUAUAAAUACGCUUCUUCUUCUCCACUUUCUCAUCACUCAGCAAAAUCUCAUCAACAAUAACCAAGCUCAGUUCUAUCCAUCACAACUCUCAGCAAAACGAUGUCGCUCAUUCCGAGUUUCUUCGGCACAGGGCGAAGGACCAACGUCUUCGACCCCUUCUCCCUUGACGUGUGGGACCCAUUCGAAACCGCACUCUCCUUUCCGCGCUCCGAGGUCUCGAGCGAGACGGCGGCGAUCGCCAACACGCGCAUCGACUGGAAGGAGACCCCGGAAGCGCACGUGUUCAAAGCGGAUCUCCCGGGGCUGAAGAAGGAAGAGGUGAAGGUGGAGAUCGAGGAGGGAAGGGUGCUUCAGAUCAGCGGACAGAGGACGAAGGAGAAGGAGGACAAGAACGACAAAUGGCACCGCGUGGAACGUAGCAGCGGCAGCUUCCUCCGCCGCUUCCGCCUGCCGGAGAACGCCAAAGUCAAUGAGGUUAAGGCUGCUAUGGAGAACGGAGUGCUCACUGUCACUGUUCCCAAGGAGGAAGUGAAGAAGCCCGAUGUGAAACCCGUUCAGAUCACUGGCUAGGCUCCCGAAUGUUACCUAUGUGCUCGGAAUCAAACGAUGAUGUUGUGUCUUUUCUGUAUGUCUUUUUUUUUUUUUCUCUUUAUCUCUGUCUCAGUCUGACAGAGAUGAAUAAAAUGUAUGUGCUUGAAUUGAGUUUAAGAUACUACUGAAAUGAUAUAGCAGUGUUUGUGUUCACUACUAUAGCUUCAGAAACUUGUUUCACACUGUGAAAUUUUACGAUUCCUGCAUAUGCAGCGCAAUACAAAAGUUAUCGAUCUUAUUCUUAAUAAAAAUGUUUUUUCUUUCUAAAUAUACAAAAGGUGUUUUAACAUAUACUAAUCAUAAUUUGAUAUAAGAAUAACACAAACAUGGAGUCAGUUUUAGCAAAUAAUUAUUAACCGAUUAUAGCUAAUAUGGAUAUCAAUACUCUUUAAAAUAGAUAUUUAUGUUGAAGUUCACUUUUUUAGAUGUAUUAAAAUGGCAUCUAACGUAUUAAAUCAGAAAUUAAAAAACAGUUUG